rnacentral:rRNA from 1 species
GCAUAUCAAUAAGCGGAGGAAAAGAAACCAACCGGGAUUGCCUCAGUAACGGCGAGUGAAGCGGCAAGAGCUCAAAUUUGAAAUCUGGCCCCCUCGGGGUCCGAGUUGUAAUUUGCAGAGGAUGCUUCGGGUGCGGCCCCCGUCUAAGUGCCCUGGAACGGGCCGUCAUAGAGGGUGAGAAUCCCGUCUGGGACGGGGUGUCCGCGUCCGUGUGAAGCUCCUUCGACGAGUCGAGUUGUUUGGGAAUGCAGCUCUAAAUGGGUGGUAAAUUUCAUCUAAAGCUAAAUACUGGCCGGAGACCGAUAGCGCACAAGUAGAGUGAUCGAAAGAUGAAAAGCACUUUGAAAAGAGAGUUAAAAAGCACGUGAAAUUGUUGAAAGGGAAGCGCUUGCGACCAGACUCGCCCGCGGGGUUCAGCCGGCAUUCGUGCCGGUGUACUUCCCCGCGGGCGGGCCAGCGUCGGUUUGGGCGGCCGGUCAAAGGCCCCCGGAAUGUAGUGCCCCUACGGGGGCACCUUAUAGCCGGGGGUGCAAUGCGGCCAGCCUGGACCGAGGAACGCGCUUCGGCACGGACGCUGGCAUAAUGGUUGCAAACGACCCGUCUUGAAACACGGACCAAGGAGUCUAACAUCUACGCGAGUGUUCGGGUGUCAAACCCGUGCGCGCAGUGAAAGCGAACGGAGGUGGGAGCCCCCCCGCGGGGCGCACCAUCGACCGAUCCUGAUGUCUUCGGAUGGAUUUGAGUAAGAGCGUAAAUGUGGGGACCCGAAAGAUGGUGAACUAUGCCUGAAUAGGGCGAAGCCAGAGGAAACUCUGGUGGAGGCUCGCAGCGGUUCUGACGUGCAAAUCGAUCGUCAAAUUUGGGUAUAGGGGCGAAAGACUAAUCGAACCAUCUGGUAGCUGGUUCCUGCCGA